rnacentral:rRNA from 1 species
AACGCGAAGAACCUUACCUACCCUUGACAUCCUGCGAAUCCUGUAGAGAUACGGGAGUGCCGCAAGGAACGCAGAGACAGGUGCUGCAUGGCUGUCGUCAGCUCGUGUUGUGAGAUGUUGGGUUAAGUCCCGUAACGAGCGCAACCCUUGUCCUUAGUUGCCAUCAUUUAGUUGGGGACUCUAAGGAGACUGCCGGUGAAGAACCGGAGGAAGGCGGGGACGACGUCAAGUCAUCAUGGCCUUUAUGGGUAGGGCUACACACGUGCUACAAUGGGGCGUACAGAGGGUAGCGAACCUGCGAAGGGGAGCCAAUCUCAGAAAGCGCCUCGUAGUCCAGAUUGGAGUCUGCAACUCGACUCCAUGAAGUUGGAAUCGCUAGUAAUCGCGAAUCAGCCACGUCGCGGUGAAUACGUUCCCGGGCCUUGUA